rnacentral:tRNA from 2 species
GGGAGCUUAGUUUAGUGGUAAAACUGUCGUCUCCAAAACGACCGUCGGGGGUCCGAUUCCUCCAGCUCCCG